GUGUGUUUAAAAUGUUUUUUUAGAGUACAGAUGUGACUGGGAGGUGAACAGCAGUCCUCCGUGGCUCUCCCGUCAUCCUUGGAGAUGACAACGCAGACUUCUUCAAGAAUUUGACUCUGAUGACCUUCUGGACGUGUCCCACGCCUCCAUUGGGACCCUGACGGUGCUGAAGACAUUGUGGCCUCCUCACUCGCUGGACCUGGAGUCUACAACUACUGCCAUCGUUUUGGGAGGAGCAGUCGUGAUGGGUGACCGUGAUAAUCUUCCCCGUGCCGUGUGGCUACUCUUCGGACUUAUUUACCCCUGAAUUUGGAGUAUCCUCAACGAGUGAGGAACACCUUCUGAAUUUAUUCAUAGAGUGCUUCUCACUUGGACCAAAAACCCUAAAAUACAAUCACUCAAAUAUCUACUGAUGCCAUAAGGGACUGUGUUCAUGAUGUGCAGGCCCGAGAACUUCACCCUUCUAUCUCCAAUUGAACUCUUUUCUAGAAAAUGUCUGUUUUUGUUGUUUUUCUGUCGUGAAAUUUAGCAAAUGCCGAAAACGCUGUGUUCAUCAUAUUUCUGCGUUACAAAACCUAAUCUGGCAACAUGUUCAGCGUUUUAAGCACGUUGUUUGAG